AAAAUCCGUCGACUUUAUAAGUCGNGAGGGUUCAAGUCCCUCUAUCCCCA
rnacentral:tRNA from 1 species